AACCUCCUACGGGGGGCAGCAGUGAGGAAUAUUGGUCAAUGGGCGGAAGCCUGAACCAGCCAAGUCGCGUGAGGGAAUAAGGCCCUACGGGUCGUAAACCUCUUUUGCCGGGGAGCAAGGGCCGGGACGAGUCCCGGUCCGGAGAGUACCCGGAGAAAAAGCAUCGGCUAACUCCGUGCCAGCAGCCGCGGUAAUACGGAGGAUGCGAGCGUUAUCCGGAUUUAUUGGGUUUAAAGGGUGCGUAGGCGGGCUUUUAAGUCAGCGGUAAAAAUUCGGGGCUCAACCCCGUCCGGCUGUUGGAACUG
rnacentral:rRNA from 1 species